CACCUUCUUCCUCCUCCCUCUUGGUCUCAUCCCUUCUUCUCUUUUAAGCUGCUGCUAUUAUGUGGAGUUUUGGAGUCUCAGCUCUUUGAAAUCUCCCCAAGUGCUGCCCCACUUAAGUCAGAGCAUGCUCAGUA
rnacentral:lncRNA from 1 species